rnacentral:rRNA from 1 species
AGCGUUAUCCGGAAUUAUUGGGCGUAAAGCGCGCGUAGGCGGUUUUUUAAGUCUGAUGUGAAAGCCCCACGGCUCAACCGUGGAGGGUCAUUGGAAACUGGAAAACUUGAGUGCAGAAGAGGAAAGUGGAAUUCCCAUGUGUAGCGGUGAAAUGCGCAGAGAUAUGGAGGAACACCAGUGGCGAAGGCGACUUUCUGGUCUGUAACUGACGCUGAUGUGCGAAAGCGUGGGGAUCAAACAGGAUUAGAUACCCUGGUAGUCCCACGCCGUAAACGAUGAGUGCUAAGUGUUAGGGGGUUUCCGCCCCUUAGUGCUGCAGCUAACGCAUUAAGCACUCCGCCUGGGGAGUACGACCGCAAGGUUGAAACUCAAAGGAAUUGACGGGGACCCGCACAAGCGGUGGAGCAUGUGGUUUAAUUCGAAGCAACGCGAAGAACCUUACCAAAUCUUGACAUCCUUUGACAACUCUAGAGAUAGAGCCUUCCCCUUCGGGGGACAAAGUGACAGGUGGUGCAUGGUUGUCGUCAGCUCGUGUCGUGAGAUGUUGGGUUAAGUCCCGCAACGAGCGCAACCCUUAAGCUUAGUUGCCAUCAUUAAGUUGGGCACUCUAAGUUGACUGCCGGUGACAAACCGGAGGAAGGUGGGGAUGACGUCAAAUCAUCAUGCCCCUUAUGAUUUGGGCUACACACGUGCUACAAUGGACAAUACAAAGGGCAGCGAAACCGCGAGGUCAAGCAAAUCCCAUAAAGUUGUUCUCAGUUCGGAUUGUAGUCUGCAACUCGACUACAUGAAGCUGGAAUCGCUAGUAAUCGUAGAUCAGCAUGCUACGGUGAAUACGUUCCCGGGUCUUGUACACACCGCCCGUCACACCACGAGAGUUUGUAACACCCGAAGCCGGUGGAGUAACCUUUUAGGAGCUAGC